UUUUGCGUACUUCUUGUUUCCUUGGUGGGUUCGCCCACCACUAGGACAAACAUAAACCUUUUGUAAUUGCAAUCAGCGUCAGUAACAAAUUAAUAAUUACAACUUUCAACAACGGAUCUCUUGGUUCUGGCAUCGAUGAAGAACGCAGCGAAAUGCGAUAAGUAGUGUGAAUUGCAGAAUUCAGUGAAUCAUCGAAUCUUUGAACGCACAUUGCGCCCUUUGGUAUUCCAAAGGGCAUGCCUGUUCGAGCGUCAUUU
rnacentral:rRNA from 1 species